rnacentral:rRNA from 1 species
UACGUAGGGGGCAAGCGUUGUCCGGAAUCAUUGGGCGUAAAGCGCGUGUAGGCGGUUCUGUAAGUCUGCUGUGAAAGUCCAGGGCUCAACCCUGGGAUGCCGGUGGAUACUGCAGGGCUAGAGUACGGAAGAGGCGAGUGGAAUUCCCGGUGUAGCGGUGAAAUGCGCAGAUAUCGGGAGGAACACCUAUUGCGAAGGCAGCUCGCUGGGACGUUACUGACGCUGAGACGCGAAAGCGUGGGGGAGCAAACAGG